rnacentral:rRNA from 1 species
CACAGAGGAGCUUGCUCCCUGGGUGACGAGCGGCGGACGGGUGAGUAAUGUCUGGGAAACUGCCUGGUGGAGGGGGAUAACUACUGGAAACGGUAGCUAAUACCGCAUAACGUCUCAGGACCAAAGAGGGGGACCUUCGGGCCUCUUGCCAUCGAAUGUGCCCAUAUGGGAUUAGCUAGUUGGUGGGGUAAUGGCUCACCUAGGCGACGAUCCCUAGCUGGUCUGAGAGGAUGACCAGCCACACUGGAACUGAGACACGGUCCAGACUCCUACGGGAGGCAGCAGUGGGGAAUAUUGCACAAUGGGCGCAAGCCUGAUGCAGCCAUGCCGCGUGUGUGAAGAAGGCCUUCGGGUUGUAAAGCACUUUUGUUGAGGAGGAAGGCGGUGAACUUAAUACCUUCAUCAAUUGACGUUACUCGCAGAAUAAGCACCGGCUAACUCCGUGCCAGCAGCCGCGGUAAUACGGAGGGUGCAAGCGUUACUCGGAAUUACUGGGCGUAAAGCGCACGCAGGCGGUUUGUUAAGUCCGAUGUGAAAUCCCUGGGCUCAACCUGGGAACUGCAUUUGAAACUGGCAAGCUAGAGUCUCGUAGAGGGGGGUAGAAUUCCCUGUGUAGCGGUGAAAUGCGUAGAGAUCUGGAGGAAUACCGGUGGCGAAGGCGGCCCCCUGGACGAACACUGACGCUCAGUGCGAAAGCGUGGGGAGCAAACAGGAUUAGAUA